rnacentral:rRNA from 1 species
AUGGUGUCACCAUCCGAUGAUCGGAUCUGCACCGGUGCAGAUCCUACAAUAGAGUGCCUUCACUUUGGCUUAACCGAAGCAUCAGAGAAAAUUGAGACUCUGAUCCCUCAUCGAGAGAUCGAUCUCGAUGGCACCGAUCUUGCGGAUGCACUCUCUCCCAUGACCCUAGAUCUGUCAGAGGAGCCGCAGGAUACCUCCCUCCAGAUGUCGGUUUCAUACCGACCAUGGGAUGGAAAUCAUUCAUCAUCGGGCCAAGCAUGGAGCUCAAAUCUUAUGAUGCACCAUGGCGGCCAAGUUAGCCAGGCCCCGCUAGCAGUACUGAAGUCGACGAUAGAUCAACCUCGGGAGGAUCUGCCUGGGAGGACGAUCUCAGAUCAGAUUGGAAUAAAAUUUUCUCUCCCACCCACCCCCAAUGUUGAGUACCACCUCGAUAACUCAGGGCUGGCUGACAUCUUGGACCUAGCCUUUGUCUUGCAAAAGAUAAAUGAAACCGUCUGGCAAUUCUGGAUGCAAUUUUUGUUUGUAAAAAGAAAGUCCCAUAUUGCAAUGAUGAGGAGGCCCUAG